UCCAGUUGAUCCUGCUUGCGGUUGCGGCUAUCUGGUUUGCAAUUAGACAUGCAAGUCUCUUUAUUUUAUUAUGAAAGGCGAACUGCUCAGCAACACGUAGCUAACCUGCCCUCAAGCUGGUGAUACCCUCGGGAAACUGAGGUUAAUAACCAAUAGACAAUUAUUGCUGGAAUGCAUUUUUGUUGAAAGUUUGCGUGAGGAUGGGGCUGCGGUGGAUUAGGUUGUUGGCGGGGUAAUAGCCCACCAAGCCGAUGAUCCAUAAGGGCUUUUAGCGAAGAAGCCUUGAGAGGGAAUCUGAGACACUAUUCCCAGCCCUACGGGGUGCAGCAGUCGGGGGUUUUCUGCAAUGCACGAAAGUGUGACAGAGCGAGCCAGAGUGCUUUCCCGUAUUGGGGAAGCUUUUGUGAGAUGUAAAAAGUCUCACGAAUAAGGACUGGGCAAGACUGGUGCCAGCCGCCGCGGUAAUACCAGCGGUCCAAGUCGCAACCACAUUUAUUGGGUCUAAAACAUCCGUAGCUUGUUAAGUAAGUCUCUUGUGAAAUCCUGCCUCUUAAGGGUAGAAGUGCAAGAGAUACUGUUUAGCUAGAGACCGGGAGACGUGAGAAGUACGGUUAGGGUAGCGGUUAAAUGCGUUGAUCCUUUCUGGACUAACGAUAGCGAAGGCAUCUCACGAGAACGGAUCUGACAGUGAGGGAUGAAGGCUAGGGGCGCAAAACGGAUUAGAUACCCGUGUAGUCCUAGCAGUAAACACUGCACACUAAACAUUGGAGCCUCUUCGAGAGGUUUCAGUGCUGCACCGAAGGGGUAGAGUGUGCUACCUGGGAAGUAUAGUCGCAAGGCCGAAACUUAAAGGAAUAGGCGGGGGAGCAUACAUCGAGUGACGCGUGCGGUUCAAUUAGAUUACACACCGUGAACCUCACCAGGACCGACAGCAGGAUGAAGGUCAGUCUAAAGGGCUUACCUGACACGCUGAGAGGAGAUGCAUGGCUGUCAUCAGCCUGUGCUGUGAAGUGACCUGUUAAAUCAGGAAACAGGCGAGACCCGCGUGUAUAUUUACUACAUGUACAAUAUGCAGACUGCCUUGGUUAACAAGGAGGAAGGUGCGGACUACGACAGGUGAGUACGUCCCGAACGCCCUGGGCAACACGCGCGCGGCAAUGCUGAGUUCAAAAGGCUGCGACACCGAGAGGUGAAGCUAAUCCUAUAAACCUCAGCCUAGUUCAGAUUGAGGGUUGCAACUCACCCUCAUGACGCUGGAAUUCGUAGUAAUCGGGUUUUAUCAGAGCCCGGUGAAUAAGUCCCUGUUCCUUGCACUCACCGCCCGUCAAACCAACCGAGUUUUGCGUUGGCGAGGCUCGUCAGAGACGAACCUUUGUAAGACAAGGUAGGUUAAGUCGGCACAAGGUC
rnacentral:rRNA from 1 species